rnacentral:rRNA from 1 species
GACGAACGCUGGCGGCGUGCCUAACACAUGCAAGUCGAGCGAUGAACCGAGAAAGAUUUCCUUCGGGAAUGAUUUUUGGGGGAUUAGCGGCGGACGGGUGAGUAACACGUGAGUAACCUGCCGUACACAUAGGGAUAGCCUCGGGAAACUGGGAUUAAUACCAAAUGAAACAUACUGAUAGCCUUAUCAAAAUGUCAAAGAUUUUAUCGGUGUACGAUGGACUCGCGUCUGAUUAGCUAGUUGGUAAGGUAACGGCUUACCAAGGCGAUGAUCAGUAGCCGGCCUGAGAGGGUGACCGGCCACAUUGGGACUGAGACACGGCCCAAACUCCUACGGGAGGCAGCAGUGGGGGAUAUUGCACAAUGGAGGCAACUCUGAUGCAGCGACGCCGCGUGAGCGAUUGAAGGGAUUCGUCUCGUAAAGCUCUGUCCUAUGGGAAGAUAAUGACGGUACCAUAGAAGAAAGCCCCGGCUAACUACGUGCCAGCAGCCGCGGUAAUACGUAGGGGGCGAGCGUUGUCCGGAAUCAUUGGGCGUAAAGGGUUCGUAGGCGGCCGUAUAAGUCAGAUGUGAAAAGAUGUGGCUUAACCAUGUUAAGCAUUUGAAACUGUACGGCUUGAGUGAAGGAGAGGUAAGUGGAAUUCCUAGUGUAGCGGUGAAAUGCGUAGAUAUUAGGAGGAAUACCAGUAGCGAAGGCGACUUACUGGCCUUUAACUGACGCUGAGGAACGAAAGCGUGGGUAGCAAACAGGAUUAGAUACCCUGGUAGUCCACGCCGUAAACGAUGAGUGCUAGGUGUCGGGAGUCAAAUCUCGGUGCCGCAGUUAACGCAAUAAGCACUCCGCCUGGGGAGUACGUACGCAAGUAUGAAACUCAAAGGAAUUGACGGGGACCCGCACAAGCAGCGGAGCAUGUGGUUUAAUUCGAAGCAACGCGAAGAACCUUACCAGGACUUGACAUACUAGUGACCGGUAUAGAGAUAUACCUUUUCUUCGGAACACUAAUACAGGUGGUGCAUGGUUGUCGUCAGCUCGUGUCGUGAGAUGUUGGGUUAAGUCCCGUAACGAGCGCAACCCCUAUUUUUAUUUGCUAGCAAGUAAUGUUGAGAACUAUAAAGAGACUGCCGAUGACAAAUCGGAGGAAGGUGGGGAUGACGUCAAAUCAUCAUGCCCUUUAUGUCCUGGGCUACACACGUGCUACAAUGGUAGGUACAGAGAGCAGCAAAACAGUGAUGUCAAGCAAAUCUCAAAAAGCCUAUCCCAGUUCGGAUUGUACUCUGCAACUCGAGUACAUGAAGUUGGAGUUGCUAGUAAUCGCGGAUCAGAAUGUCGCGGUGAAUGCGUUCCCGGGUCU